AACUCUCGACAACAGAUAUCUUAGCUCUCGCAUCAAUGAAGAACGCAGCAAAAUAUGAUACUUGGUGUGAAUUGCAAAAUCCCGUAAACCAUCGAGUGGUUUUGAGGUGGUAGUUUUGUUGAAUAUGGUGGCGACUAAUUUUUGUCGAUGGCAGUGGCA
rnacentral:rRNA from 1 species